UCUCUGAAGUUUACAUCGUGCAUUACAAAGAAGCAAGCAGAUCUUUCACUACCAAAAAAAAAAAAAAAAAAAACUCUCCAACAGCUACAGAUCUCUCUCCCUCAGAUUUACUUAAAUUUCUAUCCUUCUCUUCAUCUCGUCGACAACUAACCGAUUAUGCGGAGAAUCUCUCAUCACCGCCUUGACGAUUGUGGCUUCUCUCAGGUCAUCUUCCUCUCUUUCUAUCUCUGCGACUCGAGUCAUUAUUGGGCUAAGGUUGUGAAGUUGCAUUUACAAUAGACAGCUUUAGAUAAUUAAUUUCUGUGACUUCUGGGUAAGUGGGUAUUAAGGCUUUGUAGUCGAUCAAUUUCAGUUUGCUUGAUAAAUUUAUAUCGUUAGGUUAUUCGGGUAUUAGACUCCGUAUCCAAAUUUCCAGGUAAAGUGGAGGAUACGAUACACUAGGGAGCUUUGGAUAACAGUGAUACUUGAACCCUCAGGCCAAUUCUGAUGCACCUGAAGGAGAUGAGCCUUUGGCUUUGGACAUGGGGAAGGGUCAAGUAUGAUUCAAUGGGGAGAGCAUUGGAAGAUACUGGACUAUUCAUGCUAAUGGUAAUUGGUGAUGCUUUAGCUAAUCCACUUGGACAUGGGAAUCAUUACAAACUGAGAAUCUAUUAGCAUGCAAUCCACCAGUUCAAUACAAUAUUGUAAGAAGGGGUUUUGAUUCCGAGGCCGAAGACUGAGCUCAUUGUUGGUUUGGUGGGUGAUGUGGUGAAGGAUGAGGAGGGUUUAAGAGAGGGUUUGUGGGCAGAUUUGGGGACUGGGAGUGGGGCUAUUGCUAUUGGGAGGCUUUUGGGGACUGGUGGCAGAGUCAUUGCAACUGAUUUGAGUGCCACUGCGAUUUCGGUUGCGGGUUUUAAUGUGGAGAGGUAUGGUUUACAGUUUAUAUUAUUUCAAAAUUGGAGAGAAGCUAUAGGAGGUGGUCGUUGAUUCAGACAAGAUGGGAUUGUGGCUGUGGGUUUAGACAAGAAGAUGGAGAAAAAGAAGUUUUCCAGUCACCUAUUCAGUUUGAGGAGUUAGACUCACCCUAUCAAAGACGCAACCAACAGCUACCAAAGCUUUGACGUCGCCAAAAGUCAUUUGCGACGGUAAAUUAACUUUUAGCGACGGCAUCUUUCCUUGGCCAAUGCAAUUAUUUUUUGUAGUGUUUUCAGUUUGAAUGACAAUAAGCUGUGUGCAUUACAAAGAAGCAAGCAGUGAUCAUAUCAAUGACAAAGAAGUAGAGUUAAAUUAACGUGCUUUUAGCAAAGUAUCAAGCAGUGAUAUUGUAAAAGCAGAUCUGUUUGCUUCUUUGUAAAAGAUGGCUUUUCCCAAAAUGUUCUGCACAAAUGUUAGUAGUGGAGAUAUUCUCAAAAAGAUA